UAAGUCCCGCAACGAGCGCAACCCUCAUUUUUAGUUGCCAUCAAGUAAUGCUGGGCACUCUAGAAAAACUGCCGGUGAUAAGCUGGAGGAAGCGGGGAUGACGUCAAGUCCUCAUGGCCCUUACGGUCUGGGCUACACACGUGCUACAAUGGUGGUGACAGAGGGCAGCAAUAUCGCAAGAUAAAGCCAAUCCCAAAAAACCAUCUCAGUUCGGAUUGGACUCUGCAACUCGAGUCCAUGAAGUUGGAAUCGCUAGUAAUCGUAGAUCAGCGUGCUACGGUGAAUACGUUCUCGGGCCUU
rnacentral:rRNA from 1 species